rfam:Oryza glumipatula chromosome 10, whole genome shotgun sequence.
AAUAAGUUGAUUUGUGAGUUUCUGUGUAUAACCCUUUGACCAUCCGUCUUAUAUGAAAUUUUUUAUGAUUAGUAUUUUUAUUUUUGUUAGAUGAUAAAACAUGAAUAAUACUUUAUGCAUGACUUAUCUUUUUAAAUUUUUUCAUAUUUUUUUUGAAAUAAAACGGACGGUUAAAGGUUAUACACGGAAACCCACGAAUCAACCUAUU